rnacentral:misc_RNA from 1 species
CCACGCUGGAAAAGAGCAGACGAACUUGGAAAAAAGACAUAUCGCGUGGUGAUCGCAUUUAGUGGUGAAUAACGCCGAUGUUGGGAAUUCCUGUUGGCGAGUUUGUGUGAAUUUGUUGAAAAACAAACAAAAAAGGCAAAAUAUCAGUCAUGGAGCCAAUAACAGCUGAAGGCGACGAGGAAUCUUUAUCAAACAGCAAUGCGGGUAGUUCUGGUGCCUUCCAGGUUGAAAGAAUACACAUGCACUGGAAGGGCAUACACAAUUUGGAGAAGACGGGGGGAGAAAGUGUUAAUAAUGUUACAUCUAUCAAGUAUUACCUCGUAAAAACGGUUGAAAGAGAUGAAAACUUCAAAGACAUCACUUACUACACUUGUGUUCCAACAACCUGGGUUUCGGAAUGCAUGCAAUUCAUGGUAUACCCACCAGUUGGGACACAUUUUGCCAACGGUAAAAAUCAAGAACCAAAUCAGUGGAGAAGCAAUGUUUUUCAAAGGUUUCGUUACCCAAGGAAUUCUUGGUUUGAGUACGAUAUCGACACACGCCAGAGAAUUCCGCAACAAAUGCCGUGAUGAACAGACAGAUGACAGACCUGCCACAUCAGCAACAGCAACACCGAUGCAAUACAACGAUGGGAUCACAUUGAAACAGUAUAUAGAUAGACUUGAAGCAUUAGUUAACUGUUUUAGUCUUUAAUUUGUUUUGUCGUUGGUAUACUAAGAAGAUUCCAAUGUUAGGUUUUUACAUUGUGACAAUUUUUAUUU